rnacentral:rRNA from 1 species
GUCUUUUUGUUUAUAAUAUAAAGUCUGACCUGCCCACUGAAUUUUUAAAGGCCGCGGUAUUUUGACCGUGCGAAGGUAGCAUAAUAAUUAGUUUUUUAAUUGAAAGCUGGAAUGAAUGGUCGAACGAGGAAAUAACUGUCUCUAUAUUAAUUUAUUAGAAUUUUAUUUUUAAGUCAAAAAGCUUAAAUAGGUUUAAAAGACGAGAAGACCCUAUAGAGUUUAAUAUAAUUAUUUAUUAAAAGUAGUUAGGAUUUUUAAUUUUUAAUUUAUAAUUAUAUUUUGUUGGGGUGAUAGAAAAAUUUAAUUAACUUUUUUUAAAUUUUAACAUUAAUAUAUGAAUUUAUGAUCCAUAGUUUAUGAUUAUAAGAUUAAAUUACCUUAGGGAUAACAGCGUAAUUUCUUUAAAGAGUUCUAAUCGAAAAAGAAGUUUGCGACCUCGAUGUUGGAUUAAAAUAAAUGUUUGGUGUAGAAGCUAAACUAUUAGGUCUGUUCGACCUUUAAAAUUUU